GCAGACGGGUGAGUAACACGUGGGAACGUACCCUUUGGUUCGGAACAACCCUGGGAAACUAGGGCUAAUACCGGAUACGGCCGGAAGGCGAAAGGUUGACUGCCGAAGGAGCGGCCCGCGUCCGAUUAGCUUGUUGGUGAGGUAACGGCUCACCAAGGCGACGAUCGGUAGCUGGUCUGAGAGGAUGGCCAGCCACAUUGGGACUGAGACACGGCCCAAACUCCUACGGGAGGCAGCAGUGGGGAAUAUUGGACAAUGGGCGCAAGCCUGAUCCAGCCAUGCCGCGUGAGUGAUGACGGCCUUAGGGUUGUAAAGCUCUUUUACCCGGGAAGAUAGUGACGGUACCGGGAGAAUAAGCCCCGGCUAACUUCGUGCCAGCAGCCGCGGUAAU
rnacentral:rRNA from 1 species